rnacentral:misc_RNA from 1 species
AAAUGCGAUAAUUAAUGUGAAUUGCAGAAUUCAGUGAAUCAUCGAGUCUUUGAACGCACAUUGCGCCCCCUGGUAUUCCGGGGGGCAUGCCUGUCCGAGCGUCAUUGCUGCCAUCAAGCACGGCUUGUGUGUUGGGCUUCCGUCCCUGGCAACGGGGACGGGCCCAAAAGGCAGUGGCGGCACCAUGUCUGGUCCUCGAGCGUAUGGGGCUUUGUCACCCGCUCCCGUAGGUCCAGCUGGCAGCUAGCCUCGCAACCAAUCUUUUUAACCAGGUUGACCUCGGAUCAGGUAGGGAUACCCGCUGAACUUAAGC